GCAAGUCGAACGGUAACGGGUCCUUCGGGAUGCCGACGAGUGGCGGACGGGUGAGUAACACGUAGGUGAUCUACUUUGAAGUUGGGGAUAACCAUUGGAAACAGUGGCUAAUACCGAAUAAGCUGUAUUAUUUUGUUAGUACAGGAAAGGCGCUUUAGGGCGUUGCUUCGAAAUGAGCCUGCGGCUGAUUAGCUUGUUGGUGGGGUAAAAGCCUACCAAGGCGACGAUCAGUAGCCGGCCUGAGAGGGUGAAC
rnacentral:rRNA from 1 species